UACGGGGGGGGCAAGCGUUGUUCGGAAUUACUGGGCGUAAAGGGCUCGUAGGUGGCCAACUAAGUCAGACGUGAAAUCCCUCGGCUUAACCGGGGAACUGCGUCUGAUACUGGAUGGCUUGAGAUUGGGAGAGGGAUGCGGAAUUCCAGGUGUAGCGGUGCAAUGCGUAGAUAUCUGGAGGAACACCGGUGGCGAAGGCGGCAUCCUGGACCAACACUGACACUGAGGAGCGAAAGCCAGGGCAGCAAACGGG
rnacentral:rRNA from 1 species